GACGAACGCUGGCGGCGUGCCUAAUACAUGCAAGUCGAGCGAAGUUUUUCUGGUGCUUGCACUAGAAAAACUUAGCGGCGAACGGGUGAGUAACACGUAAAGAACCUGCCUCAUAGACGGGGACAACUAUUGGAAACGAUAGCUAAUACCGGAUAACAGCAUAAAUCGCAUGAUAUAUGUUUAAAAGUUGGUUUCGGCUAACACUAUGAGAUGGCUUUGCGGUGCAUUAGCUAGUUGGUGGGGUAAAGGCCUACCAAGGCGACGAUGCAUAGCCGACCUGAGAGGGUGAUCGGCCACACUGGGACUGAGACACGGCCCAGACUCCUACGGGAGGCAGCAGUAGGGAAUCUUCCGCAAUGGGCGAAGGCCUGACGGAGCAACGCCGCGUGAGUGAAGAAGGAUUUCGGUUCGUAAAGCUCUGUUGUUAGGGAAGAAUGAUUGUAUAGUAACUAUAUACAGUAGAGACGGUACCUAACCAGAAAGCCACGGCUAACUACGUGCCAGCAGCCGCGGUAAUACGUAGGUGGCAAGCGUUGUCCGGAAUUAUUGGGCGUAAAGCGCGCGCAGGUGGUUUAAUAAGUCUGAUGUGAAAGCCCACGGCUCAACCGUGGAGGGUCAUUGGAAACUGUUAAACUUGAGUGCAGGAGAGAAAAGUGGAAUUCCUAGUGUAGCGGUGAAAUGCGUAGAGAUUAGGAGGAACACCAGUGGCGAAGGCGGCUUUUUGGCCUGUAACUGACACUGAGGCGCGAAAGCGUGGGGAGCAAACAGG
rnacentral:rRNA from 1 species